AACAUCGAAUAACAUUACAAUUGUUUGUUAUCAAAACAUUUGAAUUGUGCCAAGAAAUAAGAAUAGUUUAUUUGGGCAGAGGAAUCACCUGUGAGGAGUUUCGAGAUGGCUAAUUUCUGUGCCGUUAAGGGCUGCGAAAUAACUCGUUCUCGAUACAAAAAUAAAGCUGAAUGUAUUACCGUGCAUAGAUUUCCCAAAAGAGAGGAUCUGCUCUUGAAAUAGAUCGCUUAUUGUGGACAACAAAAACAGUGGAAACCUCUAGGUAACCAAGGAAUUUGUUCGAAACAUUUCGAUUCCUCUUGCUAUAACAGGAAUGAAGAGUGCGAAAAUGUCUCAUACUCGGUUGAGCGGCGUCGAAGAAUCAAUGCUGAUGCAUUACCAGGGAAUCCUGAACACUGGAUUCAAUUGGGAGAAGUUGUAAAUCAACCCGCCGACAGCGCAAGAAGUAGCAGUGAUGAAAUAGAAAAUGUCGAGAUAUCU